rnacentral:tRNA from 1 species
CGGGGCGUGGCGCAGUUUGGCUAGCGCGCCUGCUUUGGGAGCAGGAGGCCCCGGGUUCAAAUCCCGGCGCCCCGACCA